rnacentral:rRNA from 1 species
ACUCCUACGGGAGGCAGCAGUGGGGAAUAUUGCACAAUGGGCGCAAGCCUGAUGCAGCCAUGCCGCGUGUAUGAAGAAGGCCUUCGGGUUGUAAAGUACUUUCAGCAGUGAGGAAGGUUCAUACGUUAAUAGCGUAUGGAUUUGACGUUAGCUGCAGAAGAAGCACCGGCUAACUCCGUGCCAGCAGCCGCGGUAAUACGGAGGGUGCGAGCGUUAAUCGGAAUUACUGGGCGUAAAGCGCAUGCAGGUGGUUUGUUAAGUCAGAUGUGAAAGCCCGGGGCUCAACCUCGGAAUUGCAUUUGAAACUGGCAGACUAGAGUACUGUAGAGGGGGGUAGAAUUUCAGGUGUAGCGGUGAAAUGCGUAGAGAUCUGAAGGAAUACCGGUGGCGAAGGCGGCCCCCUGGACAGAUACUGACGCUCAGAUGCGAAAGCGUGGGGAGCAAACAGGAUUAGAUACCCUGGUAGCACAGAG